UCAACUCCCUAACAUUGUGACGUUACCUAUACCGUUGCUUCGGCGGGCGGCCCCGGGGUUUACCCCCCGGGCGCCCCUGGGCCCCACCGCGGGCGCCCGCCGGAGGUCACCAAACUCUUGAUAAUUUAUGGCCUCUCUGAGUCUUCUGUACUGAAUAAGUCAAAACUUUCAACAACGGAUCUCUUGGUUCUGGCAUCGAUGAAGAACGCAGCGAAAUGCGAUAAGUAAUGUGAAUUGCAGAAUUCAGUGAAUCAUCGAAUCUUUGAACGCACAUUGCGCCCGCCAGCAUUCUGGCGGGCAUGCCUGUUCGAGCGUCAUUUCAACCAUCAAGCCCCCGGGCUUGUGUUGGGGACCUGCGGCUGCCGCAGGCCCUGAAAAGCAGUGGCGGGCUCGCUGUCGCACCGAGCGUAGUAGCAUACAUCUCGCUCUGGUCGCGCCGCGGGUUCCGGCCGUUAAACCACCUUUUAACCCAAGGUUGACCUCGGAUCAGGUAGGAAGACCCGCUGAACUUAAGCAUAUCAAUAAGCGGAGGAA
rnacentral:rRNA from 1 species